rnacentral:rRNA from 1 species
UACAGAGGGUGCGAGCGUUGUUCGGAAUUACUGGGCGUAAAGCGCACGCAGGCGGUCUGUGAAGUUUGGAGUGACAGUUGGUGGCUCAACCACCAAAGUGCUUUGAAAACUGAUAGACUUGAGGGCUUCAGAGGGACACGGAAUUCCGGGUGGAGUGGUGAAAUGCGUAGAUAUCAAGAGGAACACCUGAGGUGAAGACGGGUUGCUGGGCCGACACUGACGCUGACAGCGCGAAAGCCAGGGGAGCAAACGGG